rnacentral:rRNA from 1 species
GAUGAACGCUGGCGGCGUGCCUAAUACAUGCAAGUCGAGCGAACGGACGAGAAGCUUUCUUCUCUUCUGUUUGCGUCGGACGGGUGAGUAAAACGUGGAUUACCUAUCUAUAUGACUGGGAUAACUUCGGGAAACCGGAGUUCAUACCGGAUAAUCUUUUUAACCGCAUGGUUCAAAAGUGAAAGACGGUCUUGCUGUCACUUAUAGAUUGAUCCGCGCUGCAUUAGCUAGUUGGUAAGGUAACGGCUUACCAAGGCAACGAUGCAUAGCCGACCUAAGAGGGGGAUCGGCAAAACUGGAACGAGGAAACGGUCAAAACUCCUACGGGAGGCAGAAGUGGGGAAUCUUCGGAAAUGAGCGAAAUCCUGACGGAGAAAGGCCGCGGGAGUAAGGAAGGUCUUCGGAUCGUAAAACUCUGUUAUUAGGGAAGAACAUAUGUGUAAGUAAAUGUGCAAAUAUUGACGGUACCUAAUCAGAAAGCCACGGCUAACUACGUG